UGGAUCCUCUAGCCCCUAUCCGAACUACCCGAAACCCGAAAUACCCGAACCGAACCGAACCGAUACCCGAAAUGCCCAGGCCCUUCCGCCAAAUUUUUCUUCCUUCCCCGCGCACAUCUUGACCAAAAUUAAAACGAUAAACAAAAAAAAGAAAAAAGAAACUCUUCUAAUUUUUCAUUGGUUGACAAAGUAGCUAAAGGAUUGCUAUCUAGAAUUUUGGACCAUUGAUUAAAUUUUAUCCAAUGGUCAAGGUCACUUUGUGUUUCUUCCUCGUGUCUCUCACUCUCUCUUUUCUUCACAAAGAUCUCAUCUCUCUUUCAUUCCUGAAUCUCAAAUUCUCAAUCACGUUGCUCCAGAUCUUCUUUCUCUCAUAACUCUCUCUUUAACCAUACUACUUGCUCGAGCUUGUUCACCAAAGCUUGUUCGUCACCAAAGCUCAUCACCGUAGCUCGUUUGCCAUCGCCACCACCAAAGGCUCGUCGCUGUCACCACCGAAGCUCUUCGUCCACCACACAUACAAAGAAGAGAAGAGAGGAUGAAGAAGAUCCAGCAAGUUAGAGAGGACGAAGACGAAUACGAUGCUGGAGAGAGACGAAGAAGAUGAAGAAGUUAGCGAUGGGGGAGAGAGCGUGACAAAAGUGGGAGGACGGCAUAUGGUGGCGAGGGUGGAGAUGGACAGCAGAUGGUGGCAACGUCAACUCGAAGCAACGAAGCGGCGGAGAAGACGAUGACCAAUUCUUUUUUUUUUAGGUUUAGUUCUUUUUUGGGUUAAAUUCUUUAAAAAAAGUUAAUUUGGUUUAGUUUUUUUAUUGUAAUUAAUUUGACUUAGUUUGUAAAUGAGUUUCAAUUUGUAAAGUGGCUUUAAUUUAUAAAUAAAAAUUUAUUCGUAAA